GAGUUUGAUCCUGGCUCAGAACGAACGCUGGCGGCAUGCCUAACACAUGCAAGUCGAACGAGACCUUCGGGUCUAGUGGCGCACGGGUGCGUAACACGUGGGAAUCUGCCCUUUGCUUCGGAAUAACAGUUAGAAAUGACUGCUAAUACCGGAUGAUGUCGAAAGACCAAAGAUUUAUCGGCAAAGGAUGAGCCCGCGUAGGAUUAGGUAGUUGGUGGGGUAAAGGCCUACCAAGCCGACGAUCCUUAGCUGGUCUGAGAGGAUGAUCAGCCACACUGGGACUGAGACACGGCCCAGACUCCUACGGGAGGCAGCAGUGGGGAAUAUUGGACAAUGGGCGAAAGCCUGAUCCAGCAAUGCCGCGUGAGUGAUGAAGGCCUUAGGGUUGUAAAGCUCUUUUACCAGGGAUGAUAAUGACAGUACCUGGAGAAUAAGCUCCGGCUAACUCCGUGCCAGCAGCCGCGGUA
rnacentral:rRNA from 1 species